GAUGAAGAGCGCAGCGAAAUGCGAUAAGUAAUGUGAAUUGCAGAAUUCAGUGAAUCAUCGAAUCUUUGAACGCACAUUGCGCCCCCUGGUAUUCCGGGGGGCAUGCCUGUUCGAGCGUCAUUACAACCCUCAAGCUCUGCUUGGUAUUGGGCCCCGCCAGUUCUGGCGGGCCCUAAAGUCAGUGGCGGUGCCUUCCGGCUCCGAGCGUAGUAAUUCUUCUCGCUCUGGAGACCCGGUUGUGUGCUUGCCAACAACCCCCAAUUUUUCUAUGGUUGACCUCGGAUCAGGUAGGGAUACCCGCUGAAUUUAGGCAUAUCAAUAAGCGGAGGA
rnacentral:misc_RNA from 1 species